GGGGUAUUAGCUCAGUGGGAGAGCGGUAGACAGCACAUCUUCAGGUCCGGGGUUCGAAUCGCCGAUACCUCU